rnacentral:rRNA from 1 species
GACGAACGCUGGCGGCGUGCUUAACACAUGCAAGUCGAACGGAAAGGCCCUGCUUUUGUGGGGUGCUCGAGUGGCGAACGGGUGAGUAACACGUGAGUAACCUGCCCUUGACUUUGGGAUAACUUCAGGAAACUGGGGCUAAUACCGGAUAGGAGCUCCUGCUGCAUGGUGGGGGUUGGAAAGUUUCGGCGGUUGGGGAUGGACUCGCGGCUUAUCAGCUUGUUGGUGGGGUAGUGGCUUACCAAGGCUUUGACGGGUAGCCGGCCUGAGAGGGUGACCGGCCACAUUGGGACUACGAGACGGCCCAGACUCCUACGUGAGGCAGCAGUGGGGUAUAUUGCACAAUGGGCGGAAGCCUGAUGCAGCAACGCCGCGUGCGGGAUGACGGCCUUCGGGUUGUAAACCGCUUUCGCCUGUGACGAAGCGUGAGUGACGGUAAUGGGUAAAGAAGCACCGGCUAACUACGUG